AACCUGCCGCAAAUUACUGACCUGGACGUGUUCGCUGAUCCUUAUCCUUAAUUAGGUAUACAUUUUGAAACGUAUAUAAAUCAAUUGAAACUGUUUAGAGUAGUUGCGAGAAAUCACACUCAAUCUGUGUUCACUCCCCCCGCACAAAAAGUCAUUUUGUUGCGGUGAAUAAUCAGAAUCAGAAAUUCAGAUUAACGAUGAGAAGAUACAAUUCAAAUUCAGGAAAUUAUCGAAAUCCAUGUAUAACUAUGCACCAGCCUUGGGCUUCUCUUCUCGUUUACGGAAUCAAGCGAAUCGAGGGAAGAACAUGGCCUGCUCCAAUCACAGGUCGUCUUUGGAUUCAUGCUGCUGGUAAAGUUCCGGAGGAGUCUACGAUCAAAGCAAUGGAAUAUUUCUAUAAGGAAAUUUAUGCACUACAUGGGAUUACUGAUAUCAGUUUUCCUCAACAUUACCCUGUUUCUAGGCUUUUGGGUUGUGUUGAAGUUGUUGGUUGCUUAAAUCGCGAUGAGCUAUCAUGCUGGGAGAUGGUUCCUGAAUCGGUACGACUAGAAGCACAAACUGAUUAUUGUUGGUUGUGUGAACGGCCACAGAAAUUGUUGAUUCCAUUUGAGAUGCGAGGUUACCAAGGCGUUUAUAACUUGGAAAGAAAGAUUUAUGAAGGUGCAGUUAGAGGGUUAGUCCCGGUUGAUAGCCCUAUGCCAGUGAAAUUUCCACUUCCGGAUCCAUCUAACCAAUUUUCUCUAAAGCCGGGUCGUGUCUCCGCGCUUACCCAUGAUUUAAAAGCAACUGAAGUGGACAAGUCGUCAACUUUAAGUCUGGCCAUAGCUGGGGCACGUGCAGCAGCUGUUCAGUUCGCAAAGAAGGACUAUAAUUCCCAAAGUAUUGAUCGAAACAAUCAUCCUAUCAAGAUAAAUGCUAAUCACGAUGAGACUCCAGCUGCUAGAUCCGAUUAUUUACGGCCACAUCAAAGAUCUAUGGAAAAGGACAAUCUACAGUCCACUGAGUUAAAUGAGAAAUUUGAUGAUGGUUUCGUCUCAUUAGAUCAGGAAGCAAAAGGCAGUAGUAAAGUGAAUGAGGGAGGUAGCUCAUACCAUCAGUUACCUCAUGCUGACAGGAGACAACAUUUUCAUCCCUCUACAAAGGGUAUUUUGGGAUAUAAACCAAAGUUCAAUUGUGACAAGUAUGAGAAAAGUAGUAUGCAGGAACAAUUUUCAGGUGCAGAAGCAGAUUUGAGGCAGCAUCCUCGUCCACCAUCCAAGAUUUUUGCUGCAGCGAUGAAAAGCAUCAGCAAAGAUCGUGGAAAGAGUCUAACUGCUCAGAGUCCGAUUGUGAAUUUGUAACCUAGUGACUGGAUUGUUACUUAUUAUGCUGAAAAAUAAAGCUUGGAAGUGGAUGCUCACUUGAACUCAUUUGGAUGCUUGAGUCCGUUUAAGGUGCAUGCUCGCGGGGCCACUUCACCCCAUCCUCACUUUUUUAUGGGACAAAUCAAAAUUAUAGGCUCGUACCUUAAUUAUGUCUAUCUUGUUUUGUCUCGUUUUUUGUGGACUUUUUACGGGAGAGAUAUGCCCGUUUGUCACCUCUAAUUUAAUGAGAAUGUUGUGUAUUUCAGACAUUUCUAGAUUUUAAAAUUCAGAAUCUAAGAUUUUUUUUAGAAUUUCAA